AUACAUUAGUCUUAUAAUUUAAGUCUGGGAUGAAGGGGUAAACCAGGAAGUUUCUUUCUUAGUUUUUUCUUCUGAAUUUUACUUUUUAGUAAAAAGGCUAAAAUGUCUCUUUUAGACAAGAAGACCCUAUAAAGCUUUACAUAAAAUAAUUUAAAAAAUUAAAAACAUGUUUCACUGGGGCGGCGGAAAGAUAAAACACUUUUAGAGGGCUAAAAUAAAACUAUUUUAAUACCCAAAAAUUUUGAAAUUUAAAUAAGUUACUUUAGGGAUAACAGCGUAAUGUGUUUCGAAAGUCCAAAUUGACUAAACAUGUUUGCGACCUCGAUGUUGGAUUAAGCUUCCUCUAUCCCGCAAGAGGGAUAAAAGGGGGUCUGUCGACCCAAAAAUACA
rnacentral:rRNA from 1 species